CCUACGGGCGGCAGCAGUGGGGGAUAUUGCACAAUGGGGGGAACCCUGAUGCAGCGACGCCGCGUGGGUGAAGGAGCGUUUCGGCGCGUAAAGCCCUAUCGGCAGGGAAGAAGAUGACGGUACCUGGCCAAGAAUCCCCGGCUAACUACGUGCCAGCAGCCGCGGAAAUACGUAGGGGGCAAGCGUUAUCCGGAUUUACUGGGUGUAAAGGGGGCGCAGACGGCAAUGCAAGCCAGUAGUGAAAGCCCGGGCCCAACCCCGGGACUGCGCUUGGAACUGCAUGGCUGGAGUACAGGAGGGGCAGGUGGAAUGCCUAGUGUAGCGGUGAAAUGCGUAGAUAUUAGGAGGAACACCGGUGGCGAAGGCGGCCUGCUGGACUGUGACUGACGUUGAGGCCCGAAGGCGUGGGGAGCAAACAGGAUUAGAUACCCGAGUAGUC
rnacentral:rRNA from 1 species